rnacentral:rRNA from 1 species
UGCGGGGGGGGCGAGCGUUGUUCGGAAUCACUGGGCGUAAAGCGCUUGUAGGCGGAUCGUUAAGUCAGGGGUGAAAUCCCGAGGCUCAACCUCGGAACUGCCUUUGAUACUGGCUAUCUUGAGUUCGGGAGAGGUGAGUGGAAUGCCGAGUGUAGAGGUGAAAUUCGUAGAUAUUCGGCGGAACACCAGUGGCGAAGGCGACUCACUGGCCCGAUACUGACGCUGAGGCGCGAAAGCGUGGGGAGCAAACAGG